rnacentral:lncRNA from 1 species
AGAGAGAGAGAUAGCCAUCUAGGUACUAACUACGGACCCGUAAGUCUGUGGUGAACUACUCACACAUCAUCACGAGGGCAACAAGGUUGAUGAAGAGGCCCUCCGUGAUCGAUCCUCCGUCCGGCAGGGUGCCGGAACGGAGCUCCAGAUGGGAUCUCCAUGCAACAGAUACUUGCAGUAGAGGAAAAAGUGUUUUGUGAUGCCCAUUAGGUUUUUUGGAAUAUAUGCAAAUUUAAAGGCCACAGAACAGAGGUAGGAGGGCCACCACGGAGGGACAAGACAUCAGGGCGUGCCGACCCUCUUGGUCGCACCCUGUUGGCUUGUGCCCCCCUCGUGUGGACUCCGAUCUUCUCUCGAGGCUUCUAGGUUCUCUUUUGGUCCAAGAAAUAUCAUAAAAAUGUUUCGGGGCACUUGGACUUCGUUUGGUAAUGUAAACCUGAAAAGUAAAAUACAUGCAGAAAAGAGCAACUAGCAUUGGGCACUGGGUCAACAGGUUAGUGCUAAAAAACAAUGUAAAUUGGUAAAUUAUUACUCAAAAAGUAUCAUAUAAUGAUAAUAUAAUAACAUGGAACAAUAAAAAAUUAUAGAUAUGUUGGAGAAGUAUCAACGUGGAUUGUGACAGCAGCAUGAGUGGGGGCAACCACUUGCUCGUCUUUCAGUAACUCCCUAUGUUGGUACAAAAUUGUACCAACAAGCCACUACAAUUGAUUCUUGGAGUCCAAGGUCACUAAGAACCGACGAAUUCUUCAUUUUACUACAUAACAAGCCUUCUAGAAUCACGGAUCACGAGAUAUCAAAGGGUGUUGCCUCCUUGAUAAUCUUGUCGAGCAUUACUGCCUGCCAUACGUGAUGAGACCGGCUGCAUGUGAAGAGUAGGUGGCAUGUGUCUUUCAAUCGUGAGAAACAAACCGAACACUUAUCCUAAAUUAGUAUAUGCCUCAAGGAAAGUACCCCAUAAAAAGAAAUAGUACCAUGCAAAGAUUUCCAAACAAAUAUCUUUAUUUUACUUGGGACUUUUAGUUUUCAAACAAUCUCCCAUAUUGGGUUCACCGUGGAUGAUCCAUCCCCAUCCUCUCUUCUAAUGCAUGCUUCAAAUUGGUGCUCCCACUCUGUGUAAUAUGCAAAUCAUACUGAAAACAAGAAUGUCUUCAUUUUGUUCCAAGCUACUAAGUCUUCUAUUAAAUACUCGCUCAAAGGUAUCUUCAGAAUACUUUCAACGUCCAUCGACAAAAACACAUCUCUUAUCAAUUCCUCAUUUCAGGCUCUAGUGUUCUGGUUGAUCAGUUCAUCCACUAUUCAAAGAAUGAAGGGGCACAAGGUUGUGGAGGAGCAAAUUCACCUUGUUGCUACAAUGUGUGCAUCACAAAUGUUGAAAGAACAACCUCAAUGUGUUGUGCUAGAUAUCACUCUAGAGGCGGAGAUAGGGCUGAUAUGGCACCAAGAGUUCAAUCAAAAACUCUUAGAGCACAAGAUGUAGUCCAAGAUUUUAGAUAAGAACAACAAGUUCUAUUAUAGGUAGUGGG